GCUACGGGAGGCUGCAGUGGGGGAUAUUGGACAAUGGGGGAAACCCUGAUCCAGCGACGCCGCGUGAGUGAAGAAGUAUUUCGGUAUGUAAAGCUCUGUCAGCAGGGAAGAAAGAAAUGACGGUACCUGACCAAUAAGCCCCGGCUAACUACGUGCCAGCAGCCGCGGUAAUACGUAGGCGGCAAGCGUUAGCCGGAAUUACUGGGUGUAAAGGGAGCGUAGACGGUGAUGCAAGUCUGGAGUGAAAGGCGGGGGCCCAACCCCCGGAGUGCUCGGGAAACUGUGUAACUUGAGUGCAGGAGAGGUAAGCGGAAUUCCUAGUGUAGCGGUGAAAUGCGUAGAUAUUAGGAGGAACACCAGUGGCGAAGGCGGCUUACUGGACUGUAACUGACGUUGAGGCUCGAAAGCGUGGGGAGCAAACAGGAUUAGAUACCCCGGUAGUC
rnacentral:rRNA from 1 species